AGUCACUGACAUUAGAUACCCCGGUAGUCCAGGGUGUAAACGCUGCAGACUUUGGUGUUGGGGGCCCUUUGGGGGCAUUCAGUGCCGGAGAGAAGUUGUUAAGUCUGCUACUUGGGGGAGUACGUCCGCAAGGAUGAAACUUAAAGGAAUUGGCGGGGAGCACCGCAACGGGAGGAGCGUGCGGUUUAAUUGGAUUCAACACCGUAAAACUCACCAGGGAAGACUGUUACAUGAAGGCCGAGAUGAAGACUCUGCUAGAUUUUCAG
rnacentral:rRNA from 1 species